AAUGCGCUUGACUUUUCUCACAUUUUAUAAACUUGUAAUUUCCUGUAAACACCUAUGUCGAUGGUCUGGGCAAAAUCUUGUAUUAUUAUGAAAAUAAAUAUAUAAAUACGGUAGGUACGCCCUUUUCGGAAAAUUAUUCGAUUUUACGUUACUUUAAUGGCCAUAUUCGGUCGGAAGGGCAUGGCACGUGGUAUCGAUUUGACAUGAUACUAUAUAGGUACGCAAUACACUACAUACAUUAUGUAGGGAUAAGAAAAAUACGGACUUUUCGAAGUCCAAGAGUCCAGAUUUUCAUUUCCGAAAUACGCGCGUAUACAAAUAUUUACGAGCAACUUACACCAUUUAUCGAUUCAUUAAUAUAAUUAGAUACAGAAUAUAAUUAUUAAUGAACUCUAUUUAUCUGAAUAUAAUAUUUGCCGACAGUUAGAAAUCAAAAAUCUCGCGUCGUCACAGAAAUACAAUUUCUUUGGAGG